AGGGGUUGAGAAGCGGACAAUACAAUGUAAGGAUAUUCAAUUCACCAUCUAACCAUUAAUCAAGCCAUACACUGAGACAUCAGCAGGGAAAAGGGGUCACAUGUCACACCAGAGGUGGGAAUGCAAAGUCUAGGACAGGACAUCGGGGACCAAUUUAAAGCACCAAACCGGACCUUUCUCGCCAAGUUUAUACUCUGGACAAACGAGAAACGGAAAGAAAUUCAAAACGACUUAGGGAUUUGUAACAGCAAUUAGCACUGUAUAAACCACAAGAGCAAUAUAUUCUUUAACUGUCCUAAUGGAGUGCUAAUCUGUAAUUCGUCAAACUCUGGUCAUUAUAGUACUCAGUAGGCUUUCAGUCAUCAAGAUUAGUGACACUCUAUGUCCGCAUUGACUUUACAUAGGGGAAUACUCAAGAAAGAGCUUUAUUUCUAAGAAAGAUCGAAGAUAGGGUGUGGGCUUGUAUAGCGAGACAGAAGUGCAAAAAAAGUCGAAGUUUAAAGAUGUGAAGCGAUUUCAUCCAAAGAAAAAAUAUUUAUUUAUUUUUAAAAGAAAUUCUGGUUGCAUCACAAACUAAGAGAAUGUCAAAUAUAAGAUUUCAAUUUUUCGAGGAGUGUGGAAUUAAUCAAUUUCGAAAAUGUGGAGAUAAUUGUUUUCUUAAAGCAAGAAAGUGAGAUAAACAACAAAAAAUAAAUAAAUAAAAAAGAAAUGAACGACAGAAAACAGAAGAUUAAAAAAAAAGAAAGAAAGAAAUGGGAAACUGCAGGAAAAGAAUUUAGAUUGUGAUGGUUUUAAUUUUUCUGAAUGAAUUUUUUUUUAAAUAGUAGUUUUUUCCGAUUUUAUUUUAUUUAUAUGUUAUGUAUAUUGCUUUAAUUACAUGCUUUACAUAAAAUAUGACAUUUAUUUGAAAAUAUACUUUUGAAUAUAUUGUAUUGUACGAUUUUUCUUACAUUAUGUUCAAGAUUUGUAAAAUAGCAGUUCUUAGCUCUUUGCUAAAUUCGUUGGGAGUUAUUAUUACAUUAUGCUAUUUACAAUUAAAAAAUAUCUAAAAUUAUUGAUAUUUAGCGAUUAAGUUCAGUAACUAAUUUUACUUGUGUUUGUCUAAAUUUUUGAUAUAUUGUAGAUUUAGUUUUGAAGUCCUGUCACUUAAACUGUAAUUUAAGCUGUCAAAAUAAAUAAAUAAAUAAAUAUGAACAUUUAAUGAAAUUAAAAA